CCCACCCCUAACCUCCCACCUCCCGACCCUACCCUACACCAAAUACCAGGCACCACUCAGGAAACUUCUCUUUCCGUUCUCUAACUUCCCCAAGACCCUGUCAGGCAUGGAACUCUCUGUAUCCUCUGUGGACACCCACCUACCUGUGGCAGGGCCUAGGAACACACAGGACUCGGCUCUCUCAAGAGAUUCCAAGUGGACCGAGGACAGGAAGCCUUCCUCAAUGAGCACUGAAAGUCUCCAGAGGCUCUCCUCCACACUGCUGACAUCUUCCAUGAUGAAGCCUAGAAGAAAAUCACUCUCCCUGCCAUCUGGAGACAAGCCUGUCUAUGCUCCUCCAAAUCUCCAUCUCUACAAAGCUUCCUGGAGACUUUUGCUGUGGUUAAAAAGAGAGCUUCCUGGUGAUGGGGGUGGGUGUGGAGGACCUGACUUCAUGGACCUGCCUGUCAGGCCACUUUAAAGGACUGUACUGCCACCUUCCCAAUGGUUCCUACACAAUGCUCUUACCAACCACGCUCUGGCAUGCCCCUGAGCCCUAAUCCACACAGAGGAAGCACCACUCCAAACCUUGUACUCACCUGAGAUGGAUCUGAAGGAUGGAGCCCUAAAAGGCUUCCCUAUAUGCAAACCUGUCCUUCCUCUACAUCCCAGAGCUGACGACCAUAACUCGUACAUACUGUGCCUCUCAGGCACUGCUAUGACUUCUCACAGUACUGGGCCACAAUAAUCCCAGGUAUACACACACACACACACACACACACACAAAAAAAAAAAAAAGCACAUAUUUGCAGUAUGGUUAGGAGGACAUUAUUAAGACAAUUCCCAACAAUACUACCAUCUUCAUGGAAAUGGACAAUAAAUGACACAACUGUAUGUAUUUGUCACAACAGGAAACUAGUUUCCUCACCAUCAGAACAUAUUCUUCCCUCCAAAUCAGUUAAAAAUCAUCUCCAGCUAAAAAAUUCAUUGAUUUACUACCUA